AGAGAUGCACCACUGCUCAGUGGCAGAACAUCGGCUUUGUGUGCAGAAGGUCCCGGGUUCAAACCUCGUCAUCUCCA